rnacentral:lncRNA from 1 species
CGUGCACCUAGGCAAUUUUUGGAUAAAUUUUACCAAUUUCUGUAAUUAUUUGUUGAUUUUCUAAAGAAAAAAUGGAAAAAAUGUCUGAGGUGCCUAGAAAAAUCUUAAAACUUGCAUGGUCACAUAAUUUAGUAGUGUAGUGUCGAGGAAAAAGUUUCAGUCAAUUCUGAGAAAGUGGUCAUGCACGUGCUCGCAGAGGCCCUCAUCUCUCUCACAUGUCCUAGUCACUGUGCCAUGAGGUACAUAGGCAUAUAAGGGAUGUGUAGCACAACUUGCACCAAACCACUUGAAACUUUAUGAGGAUGUUUAUGUAGGUGAGGGAUGAUGUUGUUUGCAACUAGGCAAUUUUGACAAAUUUUACCUAUUUCUGUAAUUAUUUGUUGAUUUUCUAAAGAAAAAAAAGGAAAAAAUGUCUGAAGUGCCUAGAAAAUCUAAAAACUUGCAUGGUCACAUAAUUUAGUUGUGUAGUGUUGAGGAAAAAGUUACAAUCAGUUCUAAGAAAAUGGUCAUGCACGUGCUCGUAGAGGCCGUAAUCUAUCCCACAUGUCCUAGUCAUUCUGCAAUGUGGUAAAUAGGCAUAUAAGGGAUGUGUAGCACAACUUUCACCAAACCACUUUAAACAUUUUUAGGAUGUUUAUGUAGGUGAGGGAUGAUGUUGUGUGCACCUAGACAAUUUUUGGACAAAUUUUACCUAUUUCGGUAAUUAUUUGUUGAUUUUCUAAAAAAAAGGGAAAAAAUGCCUGAGGUGCCUAGAAAAAUCUUAAAACUUGUAUGGUCAUAUAAUUUAGCUGUGUAGUGUUGAGAAAAAAGUUUCAGUUAAUUCUGAGAAAGUGGUCAUACACGUGCUCGAAGAGGCCCUAAUCUCUCCCACAUGUCCUAGUCACUAUGCAAUGAGGUACAUAGGCAUAUAAGGGAUGUGUAGCACAACUUUCACCAAACUACUUGAAACUCUUUUAGGAUGUUUAUAUAUGUGAGGGAUGAUGUUUUGUGCACCUAUGCGAUUUUUGUACAAAUUAAACCUAUUUUUGUAAAUAUUUGUUGAUUUUCUAAAUAAAAAAUGGAAAAAAUGCCUGAGGUGCCUAGAAAAAUCUAAAAACUUGCAUGGUCACACAAUUUAGCUGUGUAGUGUUGAGGAAAAGUUUGAGUCAAUUCUGAGAAAGUGGUCAUGCACGUGCUCGCAGAGAACCUCAUCUGUUCCACAUGUCCUAGUCACUAUGCAAUGAGGUACAUAGGCAUAUAAGAAAUGUGUAGCACAACUUUCACCAAACCACUUGAAACUUUUUGAGGAUGUUUAUAUAGGUGAGGGAUGAUAUUGUGUGCACCUAGGCAAUUUUUGGACAAAUUUUACCUAUUUCUGUAAUUAUUUAUUGAUUUUUUAAAAAAAAUAGAAAAAAUGCAUUAGGUGCCUAGAAAAAUAUAAAAACUUCUAUGGUCACAUAAUUUAGUUGUGUAGUGUUGAGAAAAAGUUUCAGUCAAUUAUAAGAAAGUGGUCAUGCACGUACUCGCAGAGGCCCUCAUCUCUCCCACAUGUCCCAGUCAUUUUGCAAUGAGGUACAUAGGCAUAUAAGGGUUGUGCAGCACAACUUUCACCAAACUACUUGAAACGUUUUUAGGAUGUUUAUGUAGAUGAGGGAUGAUGUUGUGUGCACCUUGGAAAUUUUUGGAUAAAUUUUACCUAUUUCUGUAAUUAUUUGUUGAUUUUCUAUAGAAAAAAAUGGAAAAAUGCCUGAGGUGCUUAGAAAAAUCUAAAAACUUCCAUGGUCACAUAAUUUAGCUGUGUAGUGUUGAGGAAAAAGUUUCAGUCAAUUCUGAGAAAGUGGUCAUGCACGUGCUCGCAGAGGCCCUCAUCUCUCCCACAUGUCCUAGUCACUAUGCAAUUAGGUACAUAGGCAUAUAAGGGAUGUGUAGCACAACUUUCACCAAACCAUUUGAAACUUUUUUCGGAUGUUUAUGUAGGUGAGGGAUGAUGUUGCGUGCACCAAGGCAACUUUUGGACAGAUUUUACCUAUUUCUGUAAUUAUUUGUUGAUUUUCUAAAGAAACAAAUGGAAAAAAUGCCUGAGGUGCUUAGAAAAAUCUAAAAACUUCCAUGGUCACAUAAUUUAGCUGUGUAGUGUUGAGGAAAAAGUUUCAGUCAAUUCUGAGAAAGUGGUCAUGCACGUGCUCGCAGAGGCCCUCAUCUCUCCCACAUGUCCUAGUCACUGUGCAAUUAGGUACAUAGGCAAAUAAAGGAUGUGUAGCACAACUUUCACCAAACCAUUUGAAACUUUUUUCGGAUGUUUAUGUAGGUGAGGGAUGAUGUUGUGUGCACCUAGACAAUUUUUGGACAAAUUUUACCUAUUUCGGUAAUUAUUUGUUGAUUUUCUAAAGAAAAAAAGAGAAAAAAUGCCUAAGGUGCCUAGAAAAAUCUAAAAACUUGCAUGGUCACAUAAUUUAGCUAUGUAGUGUUGAGAAAAAAGUUUCAGUCAAUUCUGAGAAAGUGGUCAUGCGCGUGCUCGCACAGGCCCUCAUCUCUCCCACAUGUCCUAGUCACUAUGCAAUGAGGUAUAUAGGCAUAUAAGAGAUGUGUAGCACAACUUUCACCAAACCAUUUGAAACUUUUUUGGAUGUUUAUGUAGGUGAGGGAUGAUGCUGUCUGCACCUAGGCAAUUUUUAGACAAAUUUUACCUAUUUCUGUAAUUAUUUGUUGAAUUUCUAAAGAAAAAAAUGGAACAAAUGCCUGAGUUGCCUAGAAAAAUCUUAAAACUUGCAUGGUCAUAUAAUUUAGCCGUGUAGUGUUGAAAAAAAAGUUUCAGUUAAUUCUGAGAAAGUGGUCAUACACGUGCUCGAAGAGGCCCUAAUCUCUCCCACAUGUCCUAGUCAUUGUGCAAUGAGGUACAUAGGCAUAUAAGGGAUGUGUAGCACAACUUUCACCAAACUACUUGAAACUCUUUUAGGAUGUUUAUAUAUGUGAGGGAUGAUGUUUUGUGCACCUAUGCGAUUUUUGUACAAAUUAAACCUAUUUUUGUAAAUAUUUGUUGAUUUUCUAAAUAAAAAAUGGAAAAAAUGCCUGAGGUGCCUAGAAAAAUCUAAAAACUUGCAUGGUCACACAAUUUAGCUGUGUAGUGUUGAGGAAAAGUUUGAGUCAAUUCUGAGAAAGUGGUCAUGCACGUGCUCGCAGAGAACCUCAUCCCUUCCACAUGUCCUAGUCACUAUGCAAUGAGGUACAUAGGCAUAUAAGAAAUGUGUAGCACAACUUUCACCAAACCACUUGAAACUUUUUGAGGAUGUUUAUGUAGGUGAGGGAUGAUGUUGUGUGUAUCUAGGCAAUUUUUGGACAAAUUUUACCUAUUUUUGUAAUUAUUUGUCGAUUUCUAAAAAAAAUAGAAAAAAUGCUUUAGGUGCCUAGAAAAAUAUAAAAACUUGUAUGGUCACAUAAUUUAGCUGUGUAGUGUUGAAAAAAAGUUUCAGUCAAUUCUAAGAAAGUGGUCAUGCUCGUACUCGUAGAGGCCCUCAUCUCUCCCACAUGUCCUAGUCACUUUGCAAUGAGGUACAUAGGCAUAUAAGGGUUGUUCAGCACAACUUUCACCAAACUACUUGAAACUUUUUCAGGAUGUUUAUGUAGAUGAGGGAUGAUGUUGUGUGCACCUUGGAAAUUUUUGGAUAAAUUUUACCUAUUUCUGUAAUUAUUUGUUGAUUUUCUAUAGAAAAAAAUGGAAAAAUGCCUGAGGUGCCUAGAAAAAUCUAAAAACUUGCAUGGUCACAUAAUUUAGCUGUGUAGUGUUGAGGAAAAAGUUUCAGUCAAUUCUGAGAAAGUGGUCAUGCACGUGCUCGCAGAGGCCCUCAUCUCUCCCACAUGUCCUAGUCACUGUGCAAUAAGGUACAUAGGCAUAUAAGGGAUGUGUAGCACAACUUUCACCAAACCACUUGAAACUUUUUUAGGAUGUUUAUGUAGGUGAGGGAUGAUGUUGUGUGCACCAAGGCAAUUUUUUGACAAAUUUUAUCUAUUUUUGUGAAUAUUUGUUGAUUUUCUAAAGAAAAAAUGGAAAAAAAUGCCUGAGGUGCCUAGAAAAAUCUAAAAACUUGCAUGGUCAUAUAAUUUAGCUGUGUAGUGUUGAGGAAAAAGUUUUAGUCAAUUCUGAGAAAGUGGUCAUGCACGUGCUCGUAGAGGCCCUCAUCUCUCCCACAUGUCCUAGUCACUAUGAAAUGAGGUACAUAGGCAUAUAUGGGAUGUGUAGCACAACUUUCACCAAACCAUUUGAAACCUUUUUAGGAUGUUUAUGUAGGUGAGGGAUGAUGUUUCGUGCACCUCGGCAAUUUUUGGACAAACUUUACCUAUUUCUGUAAUUAUUUGUUGAUUUUCUAAAGAAUAAAAGGAAAAAAUGUCUGAGGUGCCUAGAAAAAUCUUAAAACUUGCAUGGUCACAUAAUUUAGCAGUGUAGUGUUGAGCAAAAAGUUUCAGUCAAUUCUAAGAAAGUGGUCAUGCCCGUGCUCGCAGAGGCCCUCAUCUCUCGCACAUGUCCUAGUCACUAUGAAAUGAGGUAUAUAGGCAUAUAAGGGAUGUGUAGCACAACUUUCACCAAACCAUUUGAAACUUUAUUAGGAUGUUUAUGUAGGUGAGGGAUGAUGUUUCGUGCACCUAGGCAAUUUUUGGACAAAUUUUACCAAUUUCUGUAAUUAUUUAUUGAUUUUCUAAAGAAAAAAAUGGAAAAAAUGUCUGAGGUGCCUAGAAAAAUCUUAAAACUUGCAUGGUCACAUAAUUUAGUAGUGUAGUGUCGAGGAAAAAGUUUCAGUCAAUUCUGAGAAAGUGGUCAUGCACGUGCUCGCAGAGGCCCUCAUCUCUCUCACAUGUCCUAGUCACUGUGCCAUGAGGUACAUAGGCAUAUAAGGGAUGUGUAGCACAACUUUCACCAAACCACUUGAAACUUUAUUAGGAUGUUUAUGUAGGUGAGGGAUGAUGUUGUUUGCAACUAGGCAAUUUUGACAAAUUUUACCUAUUUCUGUAAUUAUUUGUUGAUUUUCUAAAGAAAAAAAGGAAAAAAUGUCUGAAGUGCCUAGAAAAAUCUAAAAACUUGCAUGGUCACAUAAUUUAGCUGUGUAGUGUUGAGGAAAAAGUUUCAAUCAGUUCUAAGAAAAUGGUCAUGGACGUGCUCGUAGAGGCCGUAAUCUAUCCCACAUGUCCUAGUCAUUCUGCAAUGUGGUAAAUAGGCAUAUAAGGGAUGUGUAGCACAACUUUCACCAAACCACUUUAAACAUUUUUAGGAUGUUUAUGUAGGUGAGGGAUGAUGUUGUGUGCACCUAGACAAUUUUUGGACAAAUUUUACAUAUUUUGGUAAUUAUUUGUUGAUUUUCUAAAGAAAAAAAGGGAAAAAAUGCCUG